AUGGCUCAGGAUGAACGCUGGCGGCGUGCUUAACACAUGCAAGUCGAACGAAGCUAAGGGAGCUUGCUCCCAAAGCUUAGUGGCGGACGGGUGAGUAACGCGUGGGUAACCUGCCCUAUAGAGGGGGGAUAACGUUCGGAAACGAACGCUAAUACCGCAUAAACCAUAAGGAGCUGCAUGGCUCUGAUGGCAAAGAUUUAUCGCUAUAGGAUGGACCUGCGUUGGAUUAGCUAGUUGGUGAGAUAACAGCUCACCAAGGCGACGAUCCAUAGCCGGCCUGAGAGGGUGAACGGCCACAUUGGGACUGAGACACGGCCCAAACUCCUACGGGAGGCAGCAGUGGGGAAUAUUGCACAAUGGGCGCAAGCCUGAUGCCAGCGACGCCGCGUGAAGGAAGAAGGUCUUCGGAUUGUAAACUUCUAUCAGCAGGGAAGAAUAAAUGACGGUACCAGACUAAGAAGCCCCGGCUAACUACGUGCCAGCAGCCGC
rnacentral:rRNA from 1 species